GAUGAACGCUGGCGGCGUGCCUAAUACAUGCAAGUCGAGCGAACAGACGAGGAGCUUGCUCCUCUGACGUUAGCGGCGGACGGGUGAGUAACACGUGGAUAACCUACCUAUAAGACUGGGAUAACUUCGGGAAACCGGAGCUAAUACCGGAUAAUAUAUUGAACCGCAUGGUUCAAUAGUGAAAGACGGUUUUGCUGUCACUUAUAGAUGGAUCCGCGCCGCAUUAGCUAGUUGGUAAGGUAACGGCUUACCAAGGCAACGAUGCGUAGCCGACCUGAGAGGGUGAUCGGCCACACUGGAACUGAGACACGGUCCAGACUACUACGAGAGGCAGCAGUAGGGAAUCUUCCGCAAUGGGCGAAAGCCUGACGGAGCAACGCCGCGUGAGCGAUGAAAGUCUUCGGAUCGUAAAACUCUGUUAUUAGGGAAGAACAAAUGUGUAAGUAACUAUGCACGUCUUGACGGUACCUAAUCAGAAAGCCACGGCUAACUACGUG
rnacentral:rRNA from 1 species